AUGGAGCACCUCAGGAAACAGGAUUUGGGGCCAUUUGCAGGGGACCUGGUUUCAUCCCAUUGGGCUCUUAAGCCUUCGGUUUCUAACAUGUUCUCUCUUCUUCUCAUCUCAGCAUCUCUGAGGAACAUCAUGAAGAGGGGCAGGAUCUGCCGUCUCCAGCGGAGGCUUCAGCUUCAUGGAUUCUCUGGAAGUGGAGCCACCCAGGAGGAUCUCCAGGAGGAGCCUAGAUGUCUCCCUGGAAGACCUGCCCUCUCACCUGGACAGGGACUCCCAGCACAGCUCCCCUUGGCCUCCAGCUACCCUGCGGAGAGGGAGACGUGGGGGAACCUGCCCCCAGGUAAGCCUGCUGUCUCUCCAGCCCAUUGCCAUUUCCCCACUGGCUCUUGUGGCUUCUCCUCCCCGUGUGCCCCCAAUCAGCUUUACACUCCCUGCAAGCAGAAAUGGACACAAAAGGUCCUGGAAGGGUUUUCCCAGGAAAUUCUCUGGGCUCUGUGGAACUUAAGAGCCAUCCCUUGUUUUAAAGGGAGAAACAAGUUCAUCUGCAGAGAGACCAUAACAGAGAACAGCGUUUGGCCUAAAGAGAGAGGUGGGCUUCAAAUCAUUGUGUUUGCAGAUUCAAAUCGUUUAUCCAUUUAAUUUUUAAUUUUCCAGGAUUCGAUGCCCCUUGGAGUCUCUCUAAGCUACUGGGGGCACCUUAGAUGAGGAGACUUUUGUCCCACGACCCAUUUCUGGAAGGUAGGCUCUCUUCAAGGGAGGAUUAGGGAGGGACACCCUGAUUUGGCCCACGAACACCCCCAGACCUCCCUUCAACAUCAAGGCCUGGGCAAUGGCGGGGAUACUUUGGGAAGGACCCGAUAACAUCUGACCCCUGCCAGAGGCUCCACCAACUGGAAAGGUCCCCACACUCCAUCACAGCAGGCAAUGCAUGUGCCACCCCCAGUGGAUGGAGCUCAUAAGGACAAGGAGCUCCUGAAUUCAGGGGUCUAAUCUGUUCGGUGGCUUGUUUCUCCUAGUCUCGUGGCAGUAACAUCAAGAAAGGAAUCCGUGGAUGAAGAGGGAUCGAUGAAGGCAUCCAUGGAUGAAG
rnacentral:lncRNA from 1 species